rnacentral:rRNA from 1 species
GGAUCCAGACUUUGAUCCUGGCUCACGAUGAACGCUAGCUACAGGCUUAACACAUGCAAGUCGAGGGGAAACGACAUCGAAAGCUUGCUUUUGAUGGGCGUCGACCGGCGCACGGGUGAGUAACGCGUAUCCAACCUGCCCAUCACUUGGGGAUAACCUUGCGAAAGUAAGACUAAUACCCAAUGACGUCCAUAGAAGACAUCUGAAAUGGAUUAAAGAUUUAUCGGUGAUGGAUGGGGAUGCGUCUGAUUAGCUUGUUGGCGGGGUAACGGCCCACCAAGGCGACGAUCAGUAGGGGUUCUGAGAGGAAGGUCCCCCACAUUGGAACUGAGACACGGUCCAAACUCCUACGGGAGGCAGCAGUGAGGAAUAUUGGUCAAUGGGCGAGAGCCUGAACCAGCCAAGUAGCGUGCAGGAUGACGGCCCUAUGGGUUGUAAACUGCUUUUAUAAGGGAAUAAAGUGAGUCUCGUGAGACUUUUUGCAUGUACCUUAUGAAUAAGGACCGGCUAAUUCCGUGCCAGCAGCCGCGGUAAUACGGAAGGUCCGGGCGUUAUCCGGAUUUAUUGGGUUUAAAGGGAGCGUAGGCCGGAGAUUAAGCGUGUUGUGAAAUGUAGACGCUCAACGUCUGCACUGCAGCGCGAACUGGUUUCCUUGAGUACGCACAAAGUGGGCGGAAUUCGUGGUGUAGCGGUGAAAUGCUUAGAUAUCACGAAGAACUCCGAUUGCGAAGGCAGCUCACUGGAGCGCAACUGACGCUGAAGCUCGAAAGUGCGGGUAUCGAACAGGAUUAGAUACCCUGGUAGUCCGCACGGUAAACGAUGGAUGCCCGCUGUUGGUCUGAAUAGGUCAGCGGCCAAGCGAAAGCAUUAAGCAUCCCACCUGGGGAGUACGCCGGCAACGGUGCAACUCAAAGGAAUUGACG